CCUCUCCAGACGCUUCCGCCUGGGCCCCGCUCCUCCGGGGCCUGCGGCUGAGACCUGGCUCCGCUGGGUGUGCAUCCAGGCCCUGAAGCCGCGAGGCCCAGGGUUCCUUCGGGGCCCCAGGCAGCGUCACAUCCCCGGGAGCCCCUAGGAAUCCCCAGAGGCCACAGCCCGCUUCCGCGCUGACCCCACCCGGAGUCUCACCUGGCGCGCGCCUUCCACGCUGCCCACAGCCUGCGGUGGUCUCUCCCUUCACGGCCAGGAGCUCAGGCAGAGGCCUCGGCAGGGGGUGCUGCUCCGCGAGGCUUUGCUGGGGGUCGCACCUGGGCUGGGUGGGGCUGGAAGGUCCAAGAUCCGCCCCCCUGUCACCUUGGUGUCUCCCACCUGGCCACUUUCUCUCUCCGUGGGACCUCGUCUCUCUCCGUGUGACCCCAUUUCUCUCCACCUGGCCCCUUUCUCCCGCCGCGUGGCCCCUUUCUCUCUCCACGUGGCCCCCUCUCCCUCCGCGUGAGCCCGUCUCUCUCCAGGCCUUGUCUUGCCUGAGCCGGGUUACCAUGUGGUUACCCGGGUCCUCGCUUCUGAGCAGAGCAAGCUGCAGCCCAGUCUCGAUCCGAGGGGAGACCACGGGCCUCAGCGCUUGGCGGGAGCCUGGGCCGAGUGCACCAGGAGCAGAGGGGAGCAAGCCCAGGACUCCCAACACCCGUGGCAACGACGCGAGUGUGUCCCUGCCGUUGCUGGAGUGUCACCAGUCAAAUGUCCGGACCCGACACCACCGCGGAGCGUCUGCCUCUGGGUUCAUCUCAGCGCAAACACAGCCUCAGCUCCCACCGCACUGGACGUUGCGGGAGCUCUCGGCUCUGCAGAACUGAGGAGCAGCCCAUCCACUCCAGCAUCAGGACCACCACGGGGCAGAGAGCACGCUCACCUCCUUCACGGGAAACUCCCCUCCAAAGCCCAGGGGCCGAGUGCGGUCCAGGGCCGAUGGGGAGCCAGCCCACCUGCCUGGGCUCUGAGCAGGGCAGUGACAGAGUCCUGGGGACAGUGGGACAGAAGAGGGGGAGCUGGACACCUGCCCGCAGAGGGAGGGAGAGACCGCAGCAGGGGAGGAGGGGAUGGAAGUGGGCCUGUCUGUGCCCACAGCAAGGUCAGUGGUGGCAGAGGUGUUGGGAUGCCCUCCAUUGAACGGGAGGAGGGAGGGGAGAGGAGGGGGCCCUGGGCGGAUUCCUCGACCUAAUGUCCAAAAAAGGGACCCACCCACCUGCAGCACCCGGGCCCUAGGUGAGUGUGCUGGCAUCCAGGCAGCCGCCAUGGGCACCUCUGGGAGGGAGAUGCCCCUGGAGGGUGCAGAGGUGGGGGACCUGUGCCCCCUGCACUGACUGGAGGCUGCGGGGGCCCGGCCCCCCCCCCCCCCCCCCAACC
rnacentral:lncRNA from 1 species